rnacentral:snoRNA from 2 species
GUUUAAUGAUGAAAAAAAAAUUUCAGUUCUGCUUCUGAGACUAAUGAAGAUAACUAAAUUUUACCAAAACCACUGAAAA